rnacentral:lncRNA from 1 species
AGGUGUAACCUCAUGCUGACGCUUGACGCUGGUUAUGAGCGUCAAAUUGGGUCACGUGGUUAAUUUAGGCCGUGCUGCCACCUGGAAAAAACUUAGUAGCGUCAAAUCGUAAAAAGCUAAACUCGGUUUAGCUUUUUAUGCUGAGGGUGGAGCGUCAAUUUACAAAUAAUAUAAUCGAACUCGAAAAUAAUCGAUUUUGACAAAGUUUAAGAAGCCAAAUUAUUUAUUUCUGUGUUAAAUAAAUGUCUGUUUGAAUAUUGAAUAAAUAUAGAAUAAUAUUAAUUUUAGAAGGCAAAUGCAAUGGCACUGUUUGAAGAUUUCGUCGAUAGUAUGAAGAAAGAGUUGGGAAGACGGCUUCGAAAAAUCCAUGCUCUCGUCGUAAUUUAAAUAAAGGAUGGAUCCAAAAUUUCUUUGGUGUAUAUUUUUUUUUAGAUCUCUGGAUAACUAUUUCAUUGCAUAAUAAAGCACAUAUGAUCCUUUUA